CUAAUUUAUAACCUUACGCACAAAUUCUCUUUCUGACUUACACAUCGGAGAGGCGACGAGAACACACCUCGUUACCUUUGAUUCAAGUACCGAAAAGUACUAUCAUGCUCAUUCAUAGUCCUCAAGCUCGGGAAGUCAGAAGGUGCAGAUUUUUGGUAGCAUCGGACCGGUUGUGGGGAUGUUGAACAUUGGAUUUCUUGGUUUAAUACCAAGGAAGAUUAUCAAAGUAGCUAUUCCAAAGGAUCAGAAAAGGUUAAAUACUAAACAUAGGAUUGCACCAAACCAGAGAACUAAAUUUGUUUUUUGAGGUUGUAGGAGUACAUGUUGCUGUCCUGGUUUUUGCUUGGUGCUAUAUGGCACUUCUGGUGGCAGUUUUUGUUUGCUCCAGGAUUGCUUUGAUAUGAUAAUCUGAUGGGAAGUAGAUGGCUUGUUUUGUUUUUGGGGGAGGCAGCGUUAAACGUGGUGGUGGUGAAAGAGAAAGCAUCUUAGAGAGAAUGUUUUCAAGAGAAGGGAAAUUAACGUUAUUGAUGGCUCAAGGAAGAUUUUGAUUAAGGCCAAUGGGGCCUAUUUGAAUAUUUAGAAGUAGCUAGUAAAGAUUUAGCCGCAGUUUGAGCCUCAUUUUGACAAGAAAAUGUAUUUUGAAAUAGUGAUUUUUUUAGCAAAUGUGUUGUUAAAAAAGAAAAAAAAGUUUUUAA
rnacentral:lncRNA from 1 species